GGAGGACUCGCUGGAUCCAUGAAAAAAAGACAAAGAAAAAAGUCUCCAGUUCCUACAGUGUGCACCUGAUGUGGACGUAAACACACUCAAGUAAAAGCCAGAGUCAGAAGAGCAACUGCACACCACUUGAACACUUGACAGCCAGUGGUUUAAAGGUGUCAGAAUGCGUCAUCCAAAGUGCUUGCUGGAACGUCAAACAGCAUCUGAAAUUGGGGGGCUGCAUCUGACAAUUGUUGCAACUUUCUCAAACUGGCAAACAGUGAUUGGCAAGUGUGUGUGGAGUGUCAUUGGUUUUCAGUCUCAACUUUCUGUCAGCAUUUUGGUGAAGAGAGGAGGGCCUACAUUACCCAGUAUGCCUUGCAGUCCAAUGAAGAUAUCCAAGGGCGAGGGCAUCAUGGUGAAGAUUUUGAGCCAGACUCUUGUAAUUUUCGCUCUAUUAUUAAGCGUCCUCCCCAGAAAUUGCCUAGUUCUCAACACACCUACCUGACUGUACUGUGACAAAAUAAUCAACUCAAAGCUCCACUAACACUUUUUUCUCACAAAAAA